CCUGCCAGCCUCAGACUUUCAGAGAGAAACCGUGUAGAAUCGAGAGACAAAGCAAGGUCCACUUGGAGAGGCAGUGUCCUCCCGCAUGAGCCUCUCGAGAACAAUCUUGCAGAUGCACAACUUCCAUCCUGCUUAGUAAAUGUUCAGCAGGGAACUCAAGUUUCCUCCUCUCCAGGCCCUUCCCCGCUCCCGGGAUCCCUGCCCUGGGAGCGGUAGGUGAGAAGAACUGAUGGAACCUUCCAGAACUUUCUCCUCCCAGUCUCCAGUCCCCGAAGAGGAGCUCCAAAGGUGUGACGUGCUUUUCCUGGCAUGCUCUCUGAGAAAGUCAGAGUGGAGCUCAACCCGCUUGUGAACGUCUCCCGUUGGCUCAGAGAAGACCCCAAGCUAGCGCUUGGAGAGGUUGCUUUUCCCACAGCCGUGUCACUUCAGAGACCCGCUGGGGGACACGCCAGGUUUUAAUCGCGACGCGGCCGGUAGUUAGCCCGAGAACGUUGCAUAAGGAACGGCCUUCUCAGAAAUGUGUUCGUACCUCAGUGUGAGGGGGGCUGUUUAGAAGAGGAGGAAGAGGAAGUGAGGAAGUAUACUUGGGUUCUCCAGGGGGUUGAGAGGUGGUCGCUGGGCAGUCACAUCUGUCGACUAUUAAAUGAUAGAUCGGGUACUUCUGGUUUGAGCAAUAUGGGUUUCUGUGUAAUUAAAAAUUUCUUUUGCAAAUUUCUAGAACCUA